rnacentral:rRNA from 1 species
UACCCGCCGCACAAGUGGUGGUCAUUAUUAUUGGGCCUAAAGCGUCCGUAGCUGGCGUGUUAGAUGCCUGGGUAAAUCGAUGCGCUUAACGCAUCGAAUUCCGGGUAGACCGGCACGCUCGAGACCGGGAGAGGUAUGGGGUACUCGGGGGGUAGGGGUAAAAUCCUGUAAUCCUCCGGGGACGACCAGUGGCGAAGGCGCCAUACUAGAACGGCUCUGACAGUGAGGGACGAAGCCCUGGGGCGCAAACCGG